rnacentral:misc_RNA from 1 species
CCGAGUUUACAACUCCCAAACCCCUGUGAACCUUACCUAUCGUUGCUUCGGCGGACGCGCCCCGGUGCCCCCGUGCCCGGACCAGGCGCCCGCCGGAGGCCCCCAGAACCAGUAUUCACCAGUGGCAUUAUCUGAGUGGCGCAAGCAAAUAAAAUUA